GGGGGGGGGGGGUGAGAAGGAGGCGAGGAAAGGGGGGUCAAAGUUAUAGGGGUGAAGGGUGGAUGGGACGAGAGGCAAUGAUGGAAAGGAAUAGAGAAAUAGAAAAGACCAAAAGAUGAGAAUGAAGGAAUGAAGAAAGGAAGAAAAAGUUAUAGGGAUGAAGGGUGGAUGGGACGAGAGGCAAUGAUGGAAAGGAAUAAAGAAAUAGAAAAGACCAAAAGAUGAGAAAGAAGGAAUGAAGAAAGGAAGAAUAAAAGGAAGAAGGAAAAGAAAUGUCGCUAUUGAUGAUUAUAUAUGCAAGGUGGUUAAUGCAGGAAAGGAAUAAAGAAAGAGAAAAGUGAACAAUAAAAUGAAAAAGAAGAACUGAAGAAAGAAAGAAAGAAUAAAAGGCAGGAAAAAAAAGAAAAAUAGUGCUACCAAUAAUCAUAUAUGCAAGAAAGGAAUAAAGAAAAAGUAAACCAGAAGAAAUUAAGAAAAAACAAGAAAGAAAAUUAUGCUACUGAUGAUUAUAUGUUCAAAGUGGCUCAAGUCGGCAGUUUCACCACCACCGACCCGAAAACGAAGAGAAGGUGAGGGUUACGGGACGAGGCAAAGCGGCGCGGGUAGGUCACUCUUACCCAACACUGCCAGAUUGUCUUACUCAGCCUCAUAUUUACCGACUUCCGACCCAAAAACUGUCUCGUGGACCCCAAUAAGGAGAUUCACUUGUAAUUAUCGCUAAAAUAGUUUAUUCCUAAUGUUUCUUGGCAAUAGUUAGGCGUCAGAAACCGGUAAAUACUAUGCUCUGAGUACGAUAAUCUGGGAACGGUGCUCUUAGGGCCGUAUUUUAAGACACCAUCGCUUCUCACAUCAACUAUUUCUAAAGACCAAAGAGAGGAUCAAUCGGGUUUUCAUGAGUGUUUUUUAAGGUUCAUGGCACAGAAGAAGGGUUAAAGUACCACCAGGGUCAUAAAACUACCCCUGGAAAGGCCUACAGCUCCUACGAAAGCCAUGUCAAAUAUGUGAACUUGGGCGACGAAAUGUUUUA